CAGUCGCCGCGGUAAUACAGAGGGUGCGAGCGUUAAUCGGAUUUACUGGGCGUAAAGCGUGCGUAGGCGGCUUCUUAAGUCGGAUGUGAAAUCCCUGAGCUUAACUUAGGAAUUGCAUUCGAUACUGGGAAGCUAGAGUAUGGGAGAGGAUGGUAGAAUUCCAGGUGUAGCGGUGAAAUGCGUAGAGAUCUGGAGGAAUACCGAUGGCGAAGGCAUCCAUCUGGCCUAAUACUGACGCUGAGGUACGAAAGCAUGGGGAGCAAACAGGAUUAGAUACCCCUGUAGUCCCUGUCUCUUAUAC
rnacentral:rRNA from 1 species